rnacentral:rRNA from 1 species
GACGAACGCUGGCGGCGUGCUUAACACAUGCAAGUCGAACGGGAAGGCCCUGCUUUUGUGGGGUGCUCGAGUGGCGAACGGGUGAGUAACACGUGAGUAACCUGCCCUUGACUUUGGGAUAACUUCAGGAAACUGGGGCUAAUACCGGAUAGGAGCUCCUGCUGCAUGGUGGGGGUUGGAAAGUUUCGGCGGUUGGGGAUGGACUCGCGGCUUAUCAGCUUGUUGGUGGGGUAGUGGCUUACCAAGGCUUUGACGGGUAGCCGGCCUGAGAGGGUGACCGGCCACAUUGGGACUGAGAUACGGCCCAGACUCCUACGGGAGGCAGCAGUGGGGAAUAUUGCACAAUGGGCGGAAGCCUGAUGCAGCAACGCCGCGUGGGGGAUGUCGGCAUUCGGGUUGUAAACCGCUUUCGCCUGUGACGAAGCGUGAGUGACGGUAAUGGGUAAAGAAGCACCGGCUAACUACGUG